AACAAACGCUGGCGGCGUGCCUAACACAUGCAAGUCGUACGAGAAAGGGUCCUUCGGGGCCUGAGUAAAGUGGCGCACGGGUGAGUAACGCGUGGAUAAUCUGCCCUUCAGUUGGGAAGAACUCAUCGAAAGGUGGGCUAAUACCGAAUAAUGCUGUGAGACCUCGGUUGAUCAGCCAAAGAGAGCCUCUGCUUGCAAGCCCUCGCUGAAGGAUGAGUCCGCGUACCAUUAGCUAGUUGGUAGGGUAAUGGCCUACCAAGGCGACGAUGGUUAGCUGGUCUGAGAGGAUGAUCAGCCACACUGGAACUGAGACACGGUCCAGACUCCUACGGGAGGCAGCAGUGAGGAAUCUUGCGCAAUGGGGGCAACCCUGACGCAGCAACGCCGCGUGAAUGAGGAAGGUCUUCGGAUCGUAAAGCUCUGUCGGAUGGAAAGAACCGCAUAGGGGUAAACAGCCCCUGUGUCUGACGGUACCAUCAAAGGAAGCACCGGCUAACUCCGUGCCAGCCGCCGCCGUAAUAC
rnacentral:rRNA from 1 species